rnacentral:rRNA from 1 species
AACGAACGCUGGCGGCACGUUUUAAGCAUGCAAGUCGAAUGGCAGCAGGGGGCAACUCUGUGAGAAUGGCGAACGGGUGAGUAACACGUAGGUGAUCUGCCUUGAGGAUGGGGAUAGCCUGUGGAAACACAGGGUAAUACCGAAUGAGCUGACGGGACUUUGGUUUUGUUAGUAAAGGUGCUACGGCACCGCCUUGAGAGGAGCCUGCGGCUGAUUAGCUAGUUGGUGGGGUAAGAGCUUACCAAGGCGACGAUCAGUAGCCGGCCUGAGAGGGUGUACGGCCACACUGGAACUGCGACACGGUCCAGACUCCUACGGGAGGCAGCAGCUAAGAAUCUUCCGCAAUGGGCGAAAGCCUGACGGAGCGAUGCCGCGUGAUCGAUGAAGGUCGAGAGAUUGUAAAGAUCUUUUCUACAUGAGGAAUAAGUCUGGGAGGGAAUGCCCGGAUGAUGACGUUAGUGUAGGAAUAAGCCCCGGCUAAUUACGUGCCAGCCGCCGCCGUAA